rnacentral:rRNA from 1 species
UAAUACGGAGGGUACAAGCGUUAAUCGGAAUUACUGGGCGUAAAGCGCGCGUAGGCGGCUAAGUAAGUUGGAUGUGAAAGCCCCGGGCUCAACCUGGGAAUUGCAUUCAAAACUGCUUGGCUAGAGUGCGAGAGAGGAGAGUAGAAUUUCUGGUGUAGCGGUGAAAUGCGUAGAUAUCAGAAGGAAUACCAAUGGCGAAGGCAGCUCUCUGGCUCGUCACUGACGCUAAGGUGCGAAAGCGUGGGUAGCAAACAGGAUUAGAUACCCUGGUAGUCCACGCCGUAAACGAUGAGAACUAGUCGUUGGAGGGAAUUAACUCUUCAGUGGCGCAGCUAACGCAUUAAGUUCUCCGCCUGGGGACUACGGCCGCAAGGCUA